UACGGGGGGGGCAAGCGUUGUUCGGAAUUACUGGGCGUAAAGGGCUCGUAGGUGGCCAACUAAGUCAGACGUGAAAUCCCUCGGCUUAACCGGGGAACUGCGUCUGAUACGGGAUGGCUUGAGUUUGGGAGAGGGACGCGGAAUUCCCGGUGUAGUGGUGAAAUGCGUAGAUAUCGGGAGGAACACCAGUGGCGAAGGCGGCUUUCUGGCCUGUUCUUGACGCUGAGGCGCGAAAGCCAGGGGAGCAAACGGG
rnacentral:rRNA from 1 species